UGUGAUACCCAGUAGGGUGGAUGAUAGUAGUGUCCGUGACUUUGAUCCUUACUCUACACCAGCAGUCUCAAAGAAUUAACCCAAGGGUGGCAUAGAAGAGAUUUACUGAGAUUUGCUUUGAAAAUCAGAGAUCUUCAAACCUGUUAUAGGAUUUGAGCUGCUUCAGCCUGGGUGAUUCAAGAUACGUGGUAUGUAAAAUUGUACACAGGGAAAAAGAAGCAGUUGCUCCUUGGGCUGUGUGAAAAUCCUGGGCACAACAAUCCUUUGUUGGCUUCGAAGCAUGUGGGAUGAGUGGAAGCUUAAACCAGGUU